CGGCCGCACGCUGCGGGCCGGGAGGCCCCGACGACGGCGGCGGUGGCUUCACUCCCGGCGGCGCGAUGGUGUCCCGGCUUCGCCCCCCCGGGCAAAGGGCAUCCUCGGGCGGGCCGCCUGUGGGGUGGAAAAUGGCAGCUGCCCACCAGCACAGCGCGGCAGUUCUCCUGGCCGGAGGUGUGAGGGAUGCGCUGGGAUGCUCAGGGGAUUGAAUGUCAUCUCUAAGACAACGUGUCACUUCAAUUGUCUUUCCUCAGAAGCCAGGUGAAAGGGAGGAAGGCCAUACCACCCUCAAAGGUCACUGGCUGUAGGUGAACUUCAAGCAUUCUCCUGAAGCCCACCAAGGUCUGCAUCUUCUGGAGCUCAAGGGAAGGAAGAAGCUCAGGCAUCUGCUUCCUCAGUUCAGUAACCAACAGAUGACCCUCAACUGGGUUUUGCCAUACCAAGCAUCUAUAUAACUUUUUUUUUUUAAACUGGCCUUUUUACCAGCUAAUAUAAGACAGCAACAGUCUUACAUACCCAGUAAAAUGUACUACACAAUAUUAUUAAAGUCCCAUAUGUUUGUUCAGAAUCACUCAGCUGUAUGUAAAGUCACUGGUGCAAAGCUAGAGAGGACAGUGGCUCCCACCCUAUGUGUGCAGAAUGACAGAGGAGACUUUUGGCAAAUGAAGAAAUGUGCAGAGAACUUAAUUCUAAAAGCUUUUUGUGCAAAAACCCUCCAAGAAAUGUUAGAAACCACUACAACUGUAAGUGAGCUUGUGAUGGGUAGAAGAUAGGAUUAAAUUGAGGAUUAAACUAAUAAGGAAAGAGUUUCCUUCCUGUACUGAGGGACGCCCUUGGUAUGACGAGAGCCCUGUGCCAGUGUUUGGGGUACUGCUGGUCCUUGGCUGCUAGUCACAGCAGUGCUUGUGUGGAAGGAGCCUGCUCCACAGCCGUGGCACACAGGCAGUUUUACAGUGAGAGUAAGGCAUUUCCUGCUGGCUCUCUGCUGAACUUGUGGAAAUUGGGAUUGAAGCUGGGGGUGGGGGAUGCCUGAUGACAGCAAUAAAAAUAAAUCGCUACUGCAGGGGUAGGUGGCUCAGAUCAGAUAGCACUUCCUAUAGGGGUUGGAGACACAUCAUCCAAGUUCAUCCCGAGCAUAGAUUAACCAUUAAUAGGGUUGCAGAGGAAAAAUGGAGAGGAUUAAGAGUUAAAGGGAUGUCAACUCCUUGGACUUUGGAACUGAAGAACCAAUGCCAGAGAUAUGAUGGGUGUGGAUAUUUCACUUAUUUACUCAGGUUACUGUGUUUCCCUUAGUCAAUUAUAAAUUCCUUCCUUGUUUUAAUUGCAAAACAAGUGUUUGCAAACAAGGGAUGAAUACCCAGCAAAGGCAAUCACUUUCCCUAUAUUUCUGGUUUUAAAACUGAAUCCUUGUUAAUUUCCACAUCAAGUUAGUUUCUUUAAUGUUCUUUUCAGCCUGAGUGAGGCUUCUAGUAAAACCAUGUUGAACACAAAACCCAGGAAAUUUUUGUUCUCUCCUUGUUUAAUAGCCUAUCCAGAAAUAAAAAAAGUCAUCUGCGUAACAACUGGUGAUACACCCACUGGGCUGUAGUCAGCUGUCAUGCCACAGAAGCUGUGAGGAACAGGCAUUUCUUCCAGUGUGGUACCUGCCGGCAAACUCCCAUCAU